rnacentral:misc_RNA from 1 species
UCCGGGUUGGUCCCGGCGGUCCGGCCAGACGUGGUAACUGGCCACGGGGGUUGCGCUCGUUGCGGGACUUAACCCAACACCUCACGGCACGAGCUGACGACAGCCGUGCAGCACCUGUGCGCGCUCCCUCGCGGGUCCCUCGCCUUUCGGCUCGGUACCACGCGCAUGUCAAGCCCGGGUAAGGUUCUUCGCGUUGCAUCGAAUUAAACCACACGCUCCGCUGCUUGUGCGGGCCCCCGUCAAUUCCUUUGAGUUCUAGCCUUGCGGCCGUACUCCCCAGGCGGGGUGCUUAAUGCGUUAGCUUCGGCACGGAACGGGUUGAAGACCGCCCCACACCUAGCACCCAACGUUUACGGCUGGGACUAC